ensembl:lncRNA
AGAAGAGCAUUGGUGGUAUAAAUACCCAGCAUAAACAGGAUUAAAAGAGCAACUACUGACUCCAUCAGAGAAGUGUGAAGUGAGAGAGACAAGCAUAGAGAGAGAAUAAAGUACACGCUCGUACACACAAAUGGAGAAUAUGUCUUGGUGCUGAAGUAUUGCUGAAGUUCAAACUGGGCCACUGGAUACAUCUAUUUUGGUCCACUCAGUGGCACCAGUCCCACUGGACACGCACCCACACACGGACAACAUCGCAGAGUUCAGGAUCCAUGGAAGAGCUGGACGCCAAAAUCUUUUGUGCCUCUUGCAUGGUAUGUAAUGAUAUUUCUGGCAAUCAUAACACACACAAGCUUUGCUAUUAUUAUUUUGUCACCGACUUGAUUGACACAAGGACGUUGUGGCUCAGCAGGACAUGGGCGGGAUUGGUCAAGGACACACUUUCUGCUAUUGUUUAGAAGAACAUGCUGCAGUUCCCAUUAGUGAGAGACAUUUCUAUUGUUAUUCACUGUAUCUGCAAUCCACUGUUGCCUCUGUAGUGACUCAUGUAGUAGAUGCUCCCAAGAGAUUGCAGGAAUAAAUUAAUUCCCAUGUUUAGAAUGCA